rnacentral:rRNA from 1 species
AUACGGAGGGUGCAAGCGUUAUCCGGAAUCACUGGGUUUAAAGGGUGUGUAGGCGGUAUUUUAAGUCAGUGGUGAAAUCUUUCAGCUUAACUGAGAAACUGCCAUUGAUACUGGAAUACUUGAGUAUAGUUGAGGUAGGCGGAAUAUGUAAUGUAGCGGUGAAAUGCAUAGAUAUUACAUAGAACACCGAUUGCGAAGGCAGCUUACUAAACUAUUACUGACGCUGAUGCACGAAAGCGUGGAGAGCGAACAGGAUUAGAAACCCUAGUAGUAC